CAGCCUCUUCACGCCAAAUGAUAUAUUCACUGGGGCAUGACGGUCCCCAGUGUGAGCAACUAAGUUACCUUUGGAGCAUGGAAUGCCAAUCUGGACAAGUAGGGCCAGUGGGAAGUGUGGUGGGUCCUACUUUCUGCUUCACUUGCCAGGAGACUGAGAGCCUGCAUCAAAAGACUUCAAAGCACAUAGAACCAACGAGUCAGAAAUUACAUUGUAAUUACAUAUCCAUUAUUCUCAUGUGAGCUCUUGGAUCAUGUUCCACCAGAGAUUUUUCUGAGACAUUUUUAUGAAUAAAUGGAAAAGCAUUUCUGACAGAUAACAAAAGUUUAACAACUGACUUCAGAGACGUAGAAAGCUGGAAAGAGCAUUGCUGGAAAUCAGUGGCUUUUCUCAAACUCAUCAAAGCACUGAGGUUAUAGGACAAACAACCAACAUGACUUCUAGAGAACGACAGGUGCCCACAGGAAGAAACAGGAACUCAGCCUGUUUACUUAGGACAGACACAGACUGACUCACCAGCACACCAACAAGUCUCCAGCAGAGUAAGAGCGAAUCACAGCCAAAAGAACAGACUUUCUCUGUGGAGAACUUAGGGAAGCCCAAAGUCAGGAGGGGAGAUACGAACAAGGACACUGCAGGAAUCUGGAGCCUCUGGCACCGAUAUUACCACAGACAUUAAACAUGGCCCAACUGAUAAAGAUCAGAAAGUUGGAUCUACACAAAGGAGGAGCUUCCAAGAAGGAAUUAAUGAGGAUGGGGAGUCGAUUUGGAUUACAGGACACUCUGGAGUAGGAGAAAGAGUAAGGUUGAGUGAAUGCCUCUGAACGGAGCCAACUGCCUGAUUCCCACCACCAGGUCCUUAUAAAGUCAUCUUCACCGAUGGAACGGCCAGCUGUGGGUCAGACAUCACAAUUAUCAUUAGGACCAAAAGCUGGGUAAACUUUUAGAGGGACUACCUUGGAAGUACAGACAAAGGCAAGACAAAAUUGAGAAGAGGCCUUUUAAUAAUUUGAAAACUGAUCAUAUUUACAACAUAUGUAUCAAUAGCAGGAAAACGCUCGUGGGGGAAUUACCUAAUAACUAUCAAUGUAGGGAUAGCAUCUACAAUUCAGUCAUUCUCAGAUUUUUCAGUGAAAUGUUCCCUAACCAUGAGGAAAGUAGACCUAUAUGUGGAUGAGAGCCUGGCGUGCAGCCAGAGGCAGUCAUCUCAAGCCUGAAAUAUCUGUAAAAUUUACAUAAAUGUUGCAUUAUACUCCAGAAUAGAGCUAUGUUUAUUGUGACAUAGCAGUAUUGCUUCCAAUUUAAAAAUUUUAGUUAAAAUCCUUUGAAAUAUUAAGCAGUUUAAGCAAAACUGACCUCCAGGACGAGGAUUGCUCUAUGGCCCAGGCAUACAUACAUCCCUGGCACGGAGCACCCCACUGUGAGAAGCAUAGCUCUACAUUUUCUUAAGACAUUCAAAUUAAAUCUUUCUUUUAAAAAAAAUGUCUAAACUCCAACACUGAGUCUUUGCUCAAACGAUCCCUUCCAUCUGGAACACUUUUCCUAGCCUUUCCCAUGAAUCUC
ensembl:lncRNA